GNAUUUAUUGGGCGUAAAGGGAGCGCNGGCGGUCAGGAAAGUCUGGAGUAAAAGGCUAUGGCUCAACCAUAGUGUGCUCUGGAAACUNUCUGACUUGAGUGCAGAAGGGGAGAGUGGAAUUUCAUGUGUAGCGGUGAAAUGCGUAGAUAUAUGGAGGAACACCAGUGGCGAAAGCGGCUCUCUGNUCUGUCACUGUCGCUGAGGCUCGAAAGCGUGGGUAGCGAACAGGAUUAGAUACCCUGGUAGUCCACGCCGUAAACGAUGAGUGCUAGGUGUUAGGCCCUUUCCGGGGCUUAGUGCCGGAGCUAACGCAAUAAGCACUCCGCCUGGGGAGUACGACCGCAAGGUUGAAACUCAAAGGAAUUGACGGGGGCCCGCACAAGUGGUGGAGCAUGUGGUUUAAUUCGAAGCAACGCGAAGAACCUUACCAGGUCUUGACAUCCCGAUGCUAUUCUUAGAGAUAGGAAGUUACUUCGGUACAUCGGAGACAGGUGGUGCAUGGUUGUCGUCAGCUCGUGUCGUGAGAUGUUGGGUUAAGUCCCGCAACGAGCGCAACCCUUAUUGUUAGUUGCCAUCAUUAAGUUGGGCACUCUAGCGAGACUGCCGGUAAUAAACCGGAGGGAGGUGGGGAUGACGUCAAAUCAUCAUGCCCCUUAUGACCUGGGCUACACACGUGCUACAAUGGUCGGUACAACGAGUUGCGAGCCGGUGACGGCAAGCUAAUCUCUGAAAGCCGAUCUCAGUUCGGAUUGGAGGCUGCAACUCGCCUCCAUGAAGUCGGAAUCGCUAGUAAUCGCGGAUCAGCACGCCGCGGUGAAUACGUUCCCGGGCCUUGUACACACCGCCCGUCACACCACGAGAGUUUGUAACACCCGAAGUCGGUGAGGUANCCUUUUAGGGGC
rnacentral:rRNA from 1 species